CGAUCCAUAGCUGGGCCCUCGCGGUAUUCAUCAUCCAGAUAUUCUAGACUAUUUUGCUUGUGGAGACCGCAUGCUGGAGUCUUCUCGACUGGGCAACGACCUGCCAGUUUCGCUAUUGCUUUAGCUUCAUCAGGAAAAGAGAUCUGUUACUAUCUAGCCGGUAAUGGGUUAUAAAGGAUUAAGGCCUUGGCGACCGCCUCCUGUACACGAUCCAUAGGUGGGCCCUCGCGGUAUUCAUCAUCCAGAUAUUCUAGACUAUUUUGCUUGUGGAGACCGCAUGCUGGAGUCUUCUCGACUGGGCAACGACCUGCCAGUUUCGCUAUUGCUUUAGCUUCAUCAGGAAAAGAGAUAUGUUUCUAUCUAGCCGGUAAUGGGUUAUAAGGGAUUAAGGCCUUGGCGACCGCCUCCUGUACACGAUCCAUAGCUGGGCCCUCGCGGUAUUCAUCAUCCAGAUAUUCUAGACUAUUUUGAUUAAGGCCUUGGCGACCGCCUCCUGUACACGAUCCAUAGCUGGGCCCUCGCGGUAUUCAUCAUCCAGAUAUUCUAGACUAUUUUGGUAAUGUUCAAUCAAAAUUUGUCGUGUUUGUUUUGCCCAGGUUUCAGCAUUAGAGGCCAAUUUUUGUAAU